rnacentral:rRNA from 1 species
GACCUCCUACGGGGCGCAGCAGUGAGGAAUAUUGGUCAAUGGGCGGGAGCCUGAACCAGCCACGUCGCGUGAGGGAAGACGGUCCUACGGAUUGUAAACCUCUUUUGCCGGGGAGCAACGGGGUCCUUGCGAGGUCCCAAUGAGAGUACCCGGAGAAAAAGCAUCGGCUAACUCCGUGCCAGCAGCCGCGGUAAUACGGAGGAUGCGAGCGUUAUCCGGAUUUAUUGGGUUUAAAGGGUGCGUAGGCGGGCUGUUAAGUCAGCGGUCAAAUGUCGUGGCUCAACCCCGGCCUGCCGUUGAAACUG